GCCUGGGUGGCUCAGUGGUUGAGCGUCUGCCUUUGGCGCAGGACAUGAUCCUGGAUUCCUGGGAUCGAGUCCCGCAUCGGGCG
rfam:Canis lupus familiaris chromosome 5, whole genome shotgun sequence.